rnacentral:rRNA from 1 species
AUGUGAUCGUCUCUCGCAUAUCAAUAAGCGGAGGAAAAGAAACUAACAAGGAUUCCCCUAGUAACGGCGAGUGAAGCGGGAAGAGCUCAAAUUUGAAAUCUUAAAGGGUUUCCCUUUACGAAUUGUAGUUUAAAGAAGUGUUUUCUGUUGAGGUUUUGGUAAAAGUUCUUUGGAAUAGGACAUCAUAGAGGGUGAGAAUCCCGUAUUUGACCUUUACUUUCAACUUUGUGAUACACUUUCAAAGAGUCGGAUUGUUUGGGAAUGCAGUCCAAAAUGGGUGGUAAAUUUCAUCUAAAGCUAAAUAUUGGCGAGAGACCGAUAGCGAACAAGUACCAUGAGGGAAAGAUGAAAAGAACUUUGAAAAGAGAGUUAAACAGUACGUGAAAUUGUCAAAAGGGAAGCGUUUGACACCAGUGUUGUUUUUCUGAAAAUCAAUUAAAGAACUGUUUAUGCUAAGCUGUUUAGACUUUAUCAGCUAAUCUGUUUAGUUUUGAGCUUUUCUUUAAUGCACUUUUCAGUUAACAAGUCAACAUCAAUUUCUUUUGCUGUAAAAAAGCUUGAGGAAGGUGGCUUGAGAUUCGUCUUAAGUGUUUAUAGCCUCUUGCCUAUGCAGUCGGAGAGAUUGAGGUCUGCAGCGUAGAUCCUUCGGGGCUAAAUGCAUUUGUGCUAAGUUAUAGCAUUUCAUAGACAACUUGUUGACUAUGAUUUGUCUUGUAGCUUACUCGCUUAUGUUAUUUUACCUACGCUUAGGAUGUUGAUAUGCAUGACUGAUAU